AAGUAAUUAAGAGCACAAGGCGGAUGCCUUGGCAGCUGAAGGCGAUGAAGGACGUAGUAACUUGCGAUAAGCUUCGGGGAGGUGGUAAACAACCUUUGAUCCGGAGAUUUCCGAAUGGGAGAACCCAAUGUGCAUAAGCGCAUUAUCUUAUACUGAAUACAUAGGUAUAUGAGGCAAACCUAGGGAACUGAAACAUCUAAGUACCUAGAGGAAAAAAAAAAAAAAAA
rnacentral:rRNA from 14 species